GCAUAUCUUUUUACUAAAAAGCAAUACUAUGGCAGCAGCCAAAAAGCAGGAGCUCGCGUGGGAAGAAAUAGCUGACCGAGUCAAUGCGUGCAACCCAACAGGCCCCAAACUGACUUGGCAGCAACUAAAAAUGAUAUAUAAAUGUAGUUCAAACAGCCAACAGAAAAAAGGCAGAGGCACGCAAAACAGGUGGCGGUCCACCACCACCACCUCUCACAGAGGCUGAAGAGAUGGCAUCUCUGGGGGGAGCUCAUCGGACCCAGCCACGCCCCAGGACACAGAGGCCUACAUAAGAGGUAAGUUAUUCAAAUGAAUGGCAUGUACAUUAAUCCUUUUUCUAGUGUUCAGUAAUGGCCACCCAUUCAUCUUAGAAACCACUUGCCACACAGAUUUUUUUUCUUGUAGCAGUAGGCUACAGUUCUUUGUAUUGGCUGCUGUUGCUUUCAGAUAUCAAUCUAUUUAAAAUUUUUGAUGGGACCUGCACACUAUUGUAAAAAAAAAAAAGUAAUUAGGUGGGGCACUUUUUUGGGUAAUCAACUGUCUAAUCUUUAUCUUCUACCAGUUACUGAUGAUGGUGUAAUCUGUCUCGUGGAGCCUUCUACCAUAACACACCUCCAUGCUGUUGUAAGUACUCUUAAUAUUCCACAGAUUUGUCAUAAUGGGUAAUAUAACACAAACAUUCUGUUUCAUUACAGGAUGAUGAUGAAGACACCUUAUCAGCUGCCACAGAGAGGGAAGUAAUAACUUUGGUUUCAGUUAAUUGUUCCACAAUACAACUUGCAAUUUCUUUCUCUCUAACAGAGCAAUGCCGGAAGUUACAAUGAGGAAGAAGGUCCAUCAACCUCCACAGCACAGCUUACCUCAGUAAGAUGUUGUUCAGCGUUGACCCACAACUUACAAUGACACUAAGUAGACAUGGCACUGUGAAAUUCAAUGUCAUUUAUGUUCCUAUAGCUCCCUGUGAAACAACUUUACAAAGUAUAUUUAGAAUCCCAACUAAACAAAUCACACCUAGAAAUGGAGCACAUAAGGCUGCAGAUCACCAAAACAAAAAAGGAAAUACAACUGCUGGACCAUCAGUUAAAGGAAAUAAAGAAGACCCCAUAAAAUGA